AUACGGGAUAAGGAUAACUACUUGUAUUCCUUGUCUCCUCCUACCUACAGGUAUAAUAUCCUGCAUUAGUCUCACGACGCUCGAUCUUGCUCCUGACUUCUUACAUCUUUUACCCAAGAACAUGGUACCUCCGCAUCGGACAUCUCGAAGCAGCUGAGUUCCAACAUAUUUGUUAAAACCUUUCCUUUCCUUGGCUGUUUCCACCUUGCUAGGAGGGAGAGUGUGAACAAGGGUCAAGAGAAAAACGGAACUGAGAGGGGAAACUGCUUGGCUUCCAGGGGACUAUGGCCUCACUUAGUUAUCCUUGAGUUACCAUCCGCUGUUUCACAAAAUCAAUCUUCCCUCAACUCGCUGGAGUUUAAAAUACAAUGGAACCAGUCGUUAGAGGAACGAGUCUCAGACGUGUUCCUGUUCCUGUUGCUUUUCCUGCGUGGGGACGAAAAUCUGUAGCCAGAAAUCGGGUUUGGCGCGCGUUCUCUGCAGCUGCGCCUCUCCGCAAAAUCGAAGAUAUUACCCGCUUACCGGAUUCCGUAUUCCCACGGUAUGAAGCAUCGCGGGGGAGUGACCUCCUAGCUCUCCGGUGGCCAAGGCCACCGCAGAAUAUCCUCCUCGUUAGAAAGAAGGGGGCGCCACAGGUGACACAGUCUCUUAUUGAAUUCGCGAAUCACUUAAAGUCUACCUAUUCCCCCAUUUCUAUCAUAUUAGAGCGCGAAACCGCAGCGGAGGUGCACGAUGUGCUGUCAUUUCCUGUAUAUACCAACCUCGACCUGGACAAACUACCGCCCAAAAAAAUCGACCUCACAGUUACGCUAGGCGGUGACGGAACCAUCCUUCGUGCAUCCUCCUUUUUCGCAACAUCCAAACUAGUUCCUCCAAUCCUUGCCUUCAGUAUGGGAACAUUGGGUUUCCUCGGAGAAUGGAAGUUUUCCGAAUACAAAGGCGCUUUCAGGGAAGUAUACAUGUCGGGAGCUGGACCGGGGGACCGCGCAUCUCUAUUGGUGCGCCAUGGACAAAGAAUGGCUGCAGAAAAUGGCCCAUCAGUGUCCUCCACGACACUGCCCUCACCUGCAGACGGCUGGACUUCGGUCCGCGGGAAGUCCAUGGGGGCAUCGAGAUCCGCAAAGAUCCUUGUCCGUAGCCGUCUACGGGUGGGAGUAUACACGCCAGACGGCCGCCCGGUCCACCGCGACGGCGCAACCAUGGCCUCCCCCUCCGAUGACGACGGCGGCGUGCACGCCAUGAACGAAGUGGUCAUCCACCGUGGCAAACAACCGCACCUUGCCAUCGUCGAAGUCUACGUGGGCGGGCGCUUCCUCACCGAGGCUGUCGCGGACGGAAUGAUCAUCUCUACUCCCACGGGUAGCACGGCAUAUAGUCUCAGCAGCGGCGGGAGCAUCAUCCACCCGCUCGUCCCUUCGCUGCUAGUCACACCCAUCUGCCCGCGUAGUCUUAGCUUCCGGCCACUAGUCAUCCCAUCCAGCACGCCAGUGACGCUGAGGCUCAGCGAGAAGAACCGCGGGCGCGAGGUUGAGGUUAGUAUUGACGGAGUGAUGAUGGCGCAGGGAUUGAGGGUUGGGAUGGAAGUGAGGGUGUGGGGAGAAGAGAUUGAGAAGGA
rnacentral:sRNA from 2 species